UUGAACCACGAGCGUCAUGCUGGCAACAGAGCAGGCCGCCAGGGCACGAGGAGAAGUGUCGCCGAUCCC
rnacentral:SRP_RNA from 1 species